AUGGCUGGAUUCGCUGAUGCACUGAGGCCGGAUAAGUUUACUGGUGUGCACUUUAAGAGGUGGCAGGUGAAGACCACGCUCUGGCUUACUGCUCUGAAAGUUUUCCACGCUAGUGUUGGUGCUCCAGAGGGAAUGACCGACGAAGAUCGGAGAAAAUUCCAGGAAGCCAAUACUAUGUUUGUGGGAUGCAUUCUGAGUGUUCUUGCUGACCGUCUGUGUGAUGUGUACAUGCACAUAAACGACGGAAAAAUUCUGUGGGAUGCACUGAAUGCAAAAUUCGGUGCAACAGAUGCAGGCAGUGAACUGUACAUCAUGGAGAGUUUUCAUGACUACAAGAUGGUGAAUAACCGUUCUGUGGUUGAACAAGCUCAUGAGAUACAGUGCAUUGUGAAGGAACUUGAACUCCUUAAAUGUGUUCUACCCGACAAAUUCGUGGCUGGGUGCAUGAUUGCAAAGUUGCCUCCUUCAUGGAGGAAUUUCGCCACAACUCUGAAGCAUAAGAGACAGGAGAUAUCAGUUGAAAAUCUGAUUGCAUCUCUUGAUGUUGAAGAAAAAGCUCGGGCUAAAGAUACCACUAAAAAAGGAGGUGAGGUUCAGCCUACUGCUAACAUGGUGCAGAGGUACCCACAGAACAAGAACAAAGGGAAGAACAAACCUGUUUCCAACAAGCCUACCAAGACUACUACCUUCAAGAAGAAGAAGUUCAACAAGGCUGAGCUAGAGUGCUGCGCCUGUGGGAAGCCUGGACACUUUUCCAAGGAAUGCCCUGAACGUGCAGACCGCAGAGGGAAAACAAGCUCCAAGACUGUCAACAUGGUGACCGCUAGCAAUACUGAUGGGUAUGGUCGCAAGGGAUUCUUCCGUCCUAAUGGGGAAUGGGUCACAUGCUUCUGUUCGUGGCAUUGGCACGGUGGAUCUGAAGUUUACUUCAGGAAAGAUCGUGCAACUAAGGAACGUGCAGCAUGUCCCUACUUUGAACAAGAAUCUAGCUAUGAGUGUGGAGGCUUGUUCCGCUUUUCUCUUUCAGAUUUUUGCAAUAAGUCAAUAAACCAAAUUUGUGCUAGUGUUAAUGAUGAUGCAAGUAUUUGGCACUCUCGUUUAUGUCAUAUUAAUUUUGGUUUAAUGUCUCGGCUAUCCAGCAUGAGUUUAAUUCCGAACUCCACAGUUGCCAAAGGUUCUAAGUGCCAUAGUUGUGUGCAAUCUAAGCAACCUCGAAAGCCUCAUAAGGCUGCCGAGGAGAGAAACUUGGCACCUCUAGAACUCAUACAUUCUGAUCUUUGUGAGAUGAAUGGUGUGUUGACAAAAGGUGGAAAGAGAUAUUUCAUGACUUUGAUUGAUGAUGCGACUAGAUUUUGCUAUGUUUAUUUGUUGCAAACUAAUGAUGAAGCAUUAGACUACUUUAAAAUCUAUAAAGCUGAAGUUGAAAAUCAACUAGAGAGAAAGAUCAAGCGUCUUAGGUCCGAUCGUGGUGGAGAGUAUUUUCCAAAAGUUUUUGAUGAAUUUUGUGAGGAACAUGGUAUUAUUCAUGAGAGGACGCCUCCCUAUUCACCUCAAUCAAAUGGAGUGGCUGAGAGGAAAAACCGCACAUUGACUGACUUGGUGAAUGCCAUGUUAGACACUGCUGGUUUAUCUAAGGCAUGGUGGGGGGAGGCUCUAUUGACUUCAUGUCAUGUCCUGAAUAGAGUUCCCAACAAUAAUAAAGAGAAAACCCCUUAUGAGGAGUGGGUUGGGAGAAAACCAUCACUUUCUUAUUUGCACACUUGGGGAUGUUUGGCAAAGGUCAAUAUUCCUAUUCCUAAGAAACGCAAACUUGGACCAAAGACAGUGGAUUGUGUCUUUCUAGGGUAUGCUCAACGGAGCAUUGCUUAUAGAUUUUUAGUGGUAAAAUCUGAAGUACCUGAUAUGCAUGUUGAUACUAUAAUGGAAUCUCGUGAUGCAACAUCUUUUGAGAACAUAUUUCCUAUGAAAGAUAUGCAUAGCAUUGCUAGAUUUUCUUCUGAGAUAAUUCCUGAAUCUAGUACAACUGAUGAAUAUUUCGAACAAUCACAUGAGGAAGUCCUUGAGAAGGAUAACAAUGAAGUUCCUAGAAGGAACAAGAGACAAAGGAUUGCAAAAUCCUUUGGUGAUGAUUUCAUUGUAUAG
rnacentral:rRNA from 1 species